GCCCCAGUAGCUUAGCUGUAACAGCGCCGGUCUUGUAAACCGGAGACCGGAGGUUAAAAUCCUCCCUGAGGCC
rnacentral:tRNA from 1 species